rnacentral:rRNA from 1 species
AGGACGAACGCUGGCGGCAGGCUUAACACAUGCAAGUCGAGCGCUCGCAGCAAUGCGGGAGCGGCAGACGGGUGAGUAACGCGUGGGAACAUACCCUUCGGUUCGGAAUAGCUCAGGGAAACUUGAAUUAAUACCGGAUACGGCCAGAAGUGAAAAUUUCUGGCGAAAGAUUUAUCGCCGAAGGAUUGGCCCGCGUUCGAUUAGCUAGUUGGUGAGGUAACGGCUCACCAAGGCGACGAUCGAUAGCUGGUCUGAGAGGAUGAUCAGCCGCAUUGGGACUGAGACACGGCCCAAACUCCUACGGGAGGCAGCAGUGGGGAAUAUUGGACAAUGGGCGCAAGCCUGAUCCAGCCAUGCCGCGUGAGUGAUGACGGCCUUAGGGUUGUAAAGCUCUUUCGCUAGGGACGAUAAUGACGGUACCUAGACAAGAAGCCCGGCUAACUUCGUGCCAGCAGCCGC